AAUGAACGUUGGCGGCGUGGAUUAGGCAUGCAAGUCGAGCGGAAAGGCCCGCAAGGGCACUCGAGCGGCGUAAGGGACAGUAAUGUGUAGGUAACGUACCCCCGGGUCUAGGAUAGCUGCGGGAAACUGCAAUUAAUACUAGAUAACGUCUCCGGACCAAAGGUGUGAUUCCACCUGGGGAGCGGCCUACAUCCUAUUAGCUAGUUGGCGAGGUAAUGGCUCACCAAGGCGAAGAUGGGUAGCAGGUGUGAGAGCACGACCUGCGUCACUGGGACUGAGACACUGCCCAGACACCUACGGGUGGCUGCAGUCGAGAAUCUUCGGCAAUGGGCGAAAGCCUGACCGAGCGACGCCGCGUGUGGGAUGAAGGCCUUCGGGUUGUAAACCACUGUCGGAGGGGAUGAAGUGUUAGUGGGUUCUCCCAUUAACUUGACUGAUCCUCGGAGGAAGGGUGGGCUAAGUUCGUGCCAGCCGCCGCCGUAACAC
rnacentral:rRNA from 1 species